rnacentral:rRNA from 1 species
UACGGGGGGGGCUAGCGUUGUUCGGAAUUACUGGGCGUAAAGCGCGCGUAGGCGGACCUGCAAGUCGGGGGUGAAAGCCCGAGGCUCAACCUCGGAACUGCCUUCGAUACUGCGGGUCUCGAGUCCGGGAGAGGUGAGUGGAAUUCCUAGUGUAGAGGUGAAAUUCGUAGAUAUUAGGAAGAACACCAGUGGCGAAGGCGGCUCACUGGCCCGGUACUGACGCUGAGGCGCGAAAGCGUGGGGAGCAAACAGG